GUCGUAACAAGGUAGCCGUAGGGGAACCUGCGGCUGGAUCACCUCCUUAACGAAGUUAUCUGAUUGGCAAGAAUUCACAACAAGUUGUUCUUUGGUAAGAUGUUUAAAACGGGUCUAUAGCUCAGUUGGUUAGAGCACCGUGUUGAUAACGCGGGGGUCAUAAGUUCAAGUCUUAUUAGACCCACCAUUUUGGGGCCAUAGCUCAGUUGGUAGAGCGCCUGCCUUGCACGCAGGAGGUCAGGAGUUCGACUCUCCUUGGCUCCACCACUAAACAUCAAAGCAUACAUAAGCAAUUUAAAUAAGAUUUCUUAUUUAUGCUUUUAUUUUAUAAACUGACGAAGUUUAUAACAUUAUUUAACAACAUAGUAUGAGUCUGGGUUAAUUAUUAUCCAACGUAAUAAUUAACCAGGGUGAUUGUACCCAAUACAAUCACCCAAAGUAAAGAGAACUGAAUCAAGCGUAAACAUAGGUAAAUCGUUACACAUUACCCAUAAGACCCCUUGGGGUUGUAUGGUCAAGUAAUGAAGUGCACAUGGUGGAUGCCUUGGCAGUCAGAGGCGAUGAAAGACGUGAUAGCCUGCGAUAAGCGUCGGUGAGGUGGCAAUAUCCUGUGACCCGGCGAUUU
rnacentral:misc_RNA from 1 species